rnacentral:snoRNA from 1 species
CCUGCCCCUAGAGGCCUUGCGGUGAGGCUGCAUAUGCCAUUUACUGAAGUGGCAGAGAGGAGAGAAGCUAUGUCUUUGCUCAAUCUUCUGACCUAUGAACAUGUGAAUGAUUAGUAGUUUAACAUU